rfam:Triticum urartu cultivar G1812 contig1188838, whole genome shotgun sequence.
CAGAUACUCCCUCUGUUCCAAAAUACUUGACUUUCAUUUGUCGAAAAAUAAAUGUACCUAUAUACUAAAAUAUGUCUAGAUACAUCUAUAUUUUGACAAAUGAAAGGCAUGUAUUGUGGAAUGGAGGGGGUAAAAG